rnacentral:rRNA from 1 species
GUAGGUGGCAAGCGUUGUCCGGAAUUAUUGGGCGUAAAGCGCGCGCAGGUGGUUCUUUAAGUCUGAUGUGAAAGCCCCCGGCUCAACCGGGGAGGGUCAUUGGAAACUGGGGAACUUGAGUGCAGGAGAGGAAAGUGGAAUUCCACGUGUAGCGGUGAAAUGCGUAGAUAUGUGGAGGAACACCAGUGGCGAAGGCGACUUUCUGGCCUGUAACUGACACUGAGGCGCGAAAGCGUGGGGAGCAAACAGGGAUUAGAUACCCUGGUAGUCCACGCCGUAAACGAUGAGUGCUAAGUGUUGGGGGGGGUUUCCGCCCCCUCAGUGCUGCAGCUAACACAUUAAGCACUCCGCCUGGGAGUACGGUCGCAAGACUG